rnacentral:rRNA from 1 species
GACGAACGCUGGCGGCGUGCCUAAUACAUGCAAGUAGAACGCUGAAGAGAGGAGCUUGCUCUUCUUGGAUGUGUUGCGAACGGGUGAGUAACGCGUAGGUAACCUGCCUUGUAGCGGGGGAUAACUAUUGGAAACGAUAGCUAAUACCGCAUAACAAUGGAUGACACAUGUCAUUUAUUUGAAAGGGGCAAUUGCUCCACUACAAGAUGGACCUGCGUUGUAUUAGCUAGUAGGUGAGGUAAUGGCUCACCUAGGCGACGAUACAUAGCCGACCUGAGAGGGUGAUCGGCCACACUGGGACUGAGACACGGCCCAGACUCCUACGGGAGGCAGCAGUAGGGAAUCUUCGGCAAUGGGGGCAACCCUGACCGAGCAACGCCGCGUGAGUGAAGAAGGUUUUCGGAUCGUAAAGCUCUGUUGUAAGUCAAGAACGGGUGUGAGAGUGGAAAGUUCACACUGUGACGGUAGCUUACCAGAAAGGGACGGCUAACUACGUG